rnacentral:rRNA from 1 species
UGGGGAAUAUUGGACAAUGGGCGAAAGCCUGAUCCAGCCAUGCCGCGUGUGUGAAGAAGGUCUUCGGAUUGUAAAGCACUUUAAGUUGGGAGGAAGGGCAGUAAGCGAAUACCUUACUGUUUUGACGUUACCGACAGAAUAAGCACCGGCUAACUCUGUGCCAGCAGCCGCGGUAAUACAGAGGGUGCGAGCGUUAAUCGGAUUUACUGGGCGUAAAGCGUGCGUAGGCGGCUAAUUGAGUCGGAUGUGAAAUCCCCGAGCUUAACUUGGGAAUUGCAUUCGAUACUGGUUAGCUAGAGUGUGGGAGAGGAUGGUAGAAUUCCAGGUGUAGCGGUGAAAUGCGUAGAGAUCUGGAGGAAUACCGAUGGCGAAGGCAGCCAUCUGGCCUAACACUGACGCUGAGGUACGAAAGCAUGGGGAGCAAACAGG